rnacentral:rRNA from 1 species
CUCAAAGAUUAAGCCAUGCAAGUGGUUAUGUAAAACCUGACGGUUUAAAUUAGUGUUUAUAAAAAAAUAUUUGUUACAACCACAAAAUUUUUUUUGCUUUUAGCAAGAAAAAAAAAUCACUAACGCAACUGCAAACAGCUGCUUAAUACAGUCACACUUGUCUUGACUUAGCACCAUAUUUUUUUAUUUUUCUCUUUGCAGAGAAAAUAAAUUAAUAUUUACACAAAAAUGUGAAUUUUGAUUUCCACUUUUGAGAAUCCAUUUUUUACACACAUACACUACUUUGGAUAACUCAGGGAAAGUUUGGCUAAUACGUACGAGAUUUUACAAAAAAAACAGUAAAAAUGUUUUUGCGUAUUUUUUACACACACACACACAUACGCAGUAAAAAAAACAUUUUUUACACAAAUAUUCACAUCUCAGCUCUUGUUGGUAAAUUCUCAUGGGCAUUCCGUUCGCGGUUGGCUUUAUAAAAUUUAAACGCAACAUGAGAGACAACAAGCACGCAACGUCAUUCCUUCGGGAUAUGGCAUUAUGCUGAGCAGACUUUGCGAAGAAUUUCCUUUGCGAAGCAAGUCAUACAAGCAUCUACAGCAUCAAGUCACAGGGUUGACAAGUGUAUUUUUGAACCUUCAAAGCAGUUACGCAUACGGAGGAGUAGUUUCUGAUCCCAUAGAAGGAGCACCGUACGUUGAGAGACCGCUCUUAGUUCUAAGGAACGCAGCAGGCGCGUAAAUUGCCCAAUGCUAGUACCCUAUUGUUUGAAAAACAAUUUAACUAACACACAUACGCACAAAAAAACGACAACGUUUUUUUUACUAAACACUAUAUUUUGUUAACAUAACACACGAAAACAAAUAUCCUUGUUUACUUCGCUAAAAAUGUGUAUUAAGAAAGUUUUUUCUCUCUUUUUCACUGAGGCAGUGACAAGCUGUAACGGUUGAGUAUUUAUCUAAGAGAGUGUCUGGCAUUGUCGCCUGAUCUUCGGUGAUGGCUUGACAGUUCGCCGACGCUUUAUGUGCUCAAUUGGAAUGCGGUGAAUUUAAGAAACUCAGAACCAUUUGAUGGUGUUCUCUUUUACGUUUACACUAUUAGGUUAUCUGAAUUUUCAAGUGGAGGGCAAGUCUGGUGCCAGCAGCCGCGGUAAUACCAGCUCCACUAGCCUAUACAAUCAUUGUUGCGGUUAAGAGGCUCGUAGUUGGAUUGAACGAUUUUACGUACUACUUUUUUUUUACUAAAAAAAGAUAGUAAAAAUUCGCACAUUUUUUUUUCACACACACACGUACAAGAAAGAAGCGAAUUUUGUCAUUUUUUACCAUUUUUCAACACUGUGAACAAAUCAGAGUGUACCAAACAUGUCCUUUUAUAAAUGUGCAUUGAAUGUCUUAUCAUGGAACGUUGCUUUUUUGUACAUUUUUAAAACUUUUUACACACACACACAUUCGUACAAAAAAUUUUUCGUACUGAAAAAAAAAGAAGAAUGACAAUUUUGUUUUUUUUACUACAAGUGUAAAAAUAUGUACUUUUAUGUCGAUGGGGAUAGUUGGAGCCAAGAGUACUGCUGGGCGAGAGGUGAAAUUCGUUGACCCUAGCAAGACUACCAAAAGCGAAAGCNCUUGGCUAGGCUACACCCUUUGUGUUUUUUGCUUUACUUUUUUUUUGUUCUGUACAAAAUUUUUUUACACACAAUUUUUUUUGUACAAAGAAAAAAAUUAAAUUUUUUAGCAAACACUUUACAAUGAAGAACGAAGGUUGGGGGAUCAAAGAGGAUCAGAUACCCUCGUCGUCCCAUUCGUUACAUCAAACGAUGGGCUCUCAAUUGCAUAUACUAAAGUUCUUAGUUUAUGCCCUCAACCUGCAAAUUUGACUUGAGCUUAUCUUCGGAUAAUUGCUCGUCGGUUUGUAUACUUUGGUUUCGAUGGACAUUUUCUGAACUUAUCUAAUUUGACGUGAUACGUAAUAUUUAUUAUUCGUUCACUUGAUUUUAGGAGCUUUGCGCUCAAUUGGUGAGAUGUAAGCACUUUGUAAUCUGCCCUCAAAGCAAGUUUGUGUUACUUCGGCAGCCUACUAUGCUUUGCUGUGUGUAGUUUUACAUACUUUGCGCGAUGCACGCUUUAGGCACGCGCUUACUGCAGAAAUGUCUGAGACAUUCCCCUCCGGGGGUAGUAUGCACGCAAGUGUGAAACUUGAAGGAAUUGACGGAAGGGCACCACAAGAACGCGUGGAGCAUGUGGCUUAAUUUGACUCAACGCGGGAAAUCUUACCGGGUCCGGACACACUGAGGAUUGACAGGCAAAAGAUACAAGUUUUCUUUGUGAGAGCUUGCANUGUAAAAUAUGCGAGUCCUUUCAUGAUUAUGUGAUAGGUGGUGCAUGGCCGUUCUUAGUUCGUGGAGUGAUCUGUCUGCUUAAUUGCGUUUCACAACGAUUUAAAAUGCUAUGUUUUCUGUGUUUGCUGUUCGGUUUUAGCUCUUACGGGAGUUUUUAACUUUGAACGCACACGGCGUAGCUUAAAACAAUCGGAAAGCAACGAACGUGACCGCAACCUCUUGUCGCCUUUAUUUUUAAAAGCGUAGAAAAUUUUAUAUUUUCUUACGCUUGAAAAAGGCUUUAAAACUAGAGGGACCGCUGUUCUAUUCUCUUAAACCAGAGGAAGAUUGCGGCAAUAACAGGUCUGUGAUGCCCUCAGAUGUUCCGGGCUGCACACGUGCUACAAUGAUUGUUGCAGUGAGCAUCUAUUUUCAAACGCUACCGUUGCGGAUUUUGUGAGAAGGGGGCUUGUUUUAAAGCUUUCGGGUGGAGAAGCAGGUUCUUUUUUUCACAAUUUAUUCCGCGUUACGUGUCAGCUAAACCUGCUUCGAAAGCAAGUAGGUAAUCAAUUGGAAGUAACGAUUUCCAUUUUUUGGAAAGCACAACUUUUUGGUUCGUAUGGUACUGCGAAGUUAACGCAGUUUACUGUGUCUUUCUCUCGUCGGUAUUCACACGGAUAUCUGUGCUACUAUUUUUAAAAUUCAAGGUGGGGACAGACCAUUGUUAAUUGUUGGUCUCGUUUUAACUAGGAAUGCCUUGUACGGGUUGGUUCAUCAAACCACCCGGAAUACGUCCCUGCCCUUUGUACACACCGCCCGUCGCUCUUACCGAUGGACUUCUCUGUGAGGUUGAGGGACUGGGUCCUUUGCGACCUACGGAAACUCAUUCGGACAGGGUGGUCUAAAGGAAAGAGAAGUCGUAACAAGGCAUCGGUAGGUGAACCU